rnacentral:rRNA from 1 species
AGAGUUUGAUCCUGGCUCAGAACGAACGCUGGCGGCGUGCCUAACACAUGCAAGUCGAACGGAGAUAAGGGGCUUGCUCCUUAUUUUAGUGGCGCACGGGUGAGUAACGCGUGGAUAAUCUACCUUGGAAUCUGGGAUAACAUUUCGAAAGGGGUGCUAAUACCGGAUAAGACCACGAUCUCUUUGGAGAUUGCGGUAAAAGGGGGCCUCUGUAUAUGCUUCUGUUUCAAGAUGAGUCCGCGUACCAUUAGCUAGUUGGCAGGGUAAUGGCCUACCAAGGCGACGAUGGUUAGCUGGUCUGAGAGGAUGAUCAGCCACACUGGAACUGAGACACGGUCCAGACUCCUACGGGAGGCAGCAGUGGGGAAUUUUGCGCAAUGGGGGAAACCCUGACGCAGCAACGCCGCGUGAGUGAUGAAGGCCUUCGGGUCGUAAAGGUCUAUCAGAGGGAAAGAAGUGUAUGGCGGUU